UACAAAUGAAUUGACGGGACCCGCACAAGCAGCGGAGCGUGUGGUUUAAUUCGUUGCUACACGAAGAACCUUACCUGGGUUUGACAUAUAGGUUGUAGGGAACUGAAAAGGGACCGACCCUUCGGGGAGCCUAUACAGGUGUUGCAUGGCUGUCGUCAGCUCGUGUCGUGAGAUGUUCGGUUAAGUCCGCUAACGAGCGCAACCCUCGUCGUAUGUUAUAUGUGUCAUACGAGACUGCCGGUAAAAAGCCGGAGGAAGGUGAGGAUGAUGUCAAGUCAGCAUGACCUUUAUAUCCAGGGCUACACACACGCUACAAUGGUCUGUACAAUGGGUAGCCAAGCCGCGAGGCGGAGCCAAUCCUGAAAGCAGGCCUCAGUUCAGAUUGCAGUCUGCAACUCGACUGCAUGAAGCCGGAGUUGCUAGUAACCGCAGGUCAGCAAUACUGCGGUGAAUACGUUCCCGGGUCUU
rnacentral:rRNA from 1 species